CUACAGAAUAUGCUGACAUACUGUAUUCUGUCAGUUUAAUUUCCCCCACAGACAUGAUGAAGCCUUCUCCACUGAACCAAUAAAAGAUACUGGAAAGGGACCACCACUGGGGUUCUAUCAUGUACAGAAUAUUACAGUAACAGUGACUCGAGCAUUCCUAGAAUACAUAAAAACACAACCUAUCGUGUUUGAAGUAUUUGGUCAUUAUCAGC